GAACCCGCUGCGUCUGCGCAGAAAACUGUCGGGGGGUGGGGGGGGAGGAACAUGGCGCAAGCUCUGUCUCAGGAGGAGUUUCAGCGGAUGCAGGCUCAGCUCCUGGAACUGCGGACAAACAACUACCAGCUUUCAGAUGAAUUACGCAAGAAUGGUGUUGAACUCACCAGUCUUCGACAGAAGGUUGCUUACCUGGAUAAGGAGUUCAGCAAAGCUCAGAAGGCACUGAGCAAGAGCAAGAAAGCUCAGGAAGUCGAGGGGCUGCUGAGUGAAAAUGAGAUGCUGCAGGCAAAGCUGCACAGCCAGGAGGAGGACUUCCGCUUGCAGAACAGCACUCUUAUGGCUGAGUUCAGCAAGCUCUGCAGCCAGAUGGAACAGCUGGAACUGGAGAACCAACAGUUGAAGGAUGGGGCUUCCAGGGCAGGGGCUGCCCAAGCCGGGAGCAUUGUGGAUGGAGAGUUGCUGAGACUGCAGGCGGAAAACACAGCCUUGCAGAAGAAUGUGGCAGCCCUGCAGGAACGCUAUGAAAAAGAAGCCAGGAAGUCUCCAACCGCCAGUGAAGGCCACGGGGACCACCUGGAGAGCCAAGCCCUCACUACCUUGUCCCCCAUGCCAUUGGCAGAGGUGGAGCUGAAGUGGGAAAUGGAGAAGGAGGAAAAGAAAUUGCUCUGGGAACAACUACAAGGCUUGGAGAGCUUGAAACAAGCUGAAACAUCCAGACUACAGGAAGAACUUGCUAAGCUCUCUGAGAAACUGAAAAAGAAACAAGAAAGUUUUUGCCGUCUGCAGACAGAAAAGGAGACACUAUUCAAUGACAGCCGGAACAAGAUUGAGGAGUUACAACAGCGGAAGGAAGCUGAUCUCAAAGCCCAGUUGGCUAGAACUCAGAAGCUGCAGCAGGAACUGGAGGCUGCCAAUCAGAGCUUGGCAGAGCUGAGAGAUCAGCGACAAGGGGAACGCCUGGAACAUGCAGCAGCUCUGCGAGCCCUGCAAGAUCAGGUGUCCAUCCAGAGUGCAGAUGCACAGGAACAAGUAGAAGGACUUUUGGCUGAGAACAAUGCCUUGAGGACUAGCCUGGCUGCCCUGGAGCAGAUCCAAACAGCCAAGACCCAAGAGCUGAAUAUGCUCCGGGAACAGACUGCUGAGCUGACAGCUGAGUUGCAGCAGCGGCAGACUGAGUAUGAGGACCUCAUGGGACAGAAAGAUGACCUCAACUCCCAGCUUCAGGAGUCAUUACGAGCCAAUAGUCGGCUGCUGGAACAACUUCAAGAAAUCGGGCAGGAGAAGGAACAGUUGACCCAGGAACUACAAGAGGCUCGAAAGAGUGCUGAGAAGCGGAAGGCCAUGCUGGAUGAGCUAGCAAUGGAGACGUUGCAGGAGAAGUCCCAGCACAAGGAGGAGCUAGGAGCUAUCCGACUUCGGCAUGAAAAGGAGGUGCUGGGAGUGCGUGCCCGCUAUGAGCGGGAACUCCGUGAGCUGCAUGAAGACAAGAAGCGACAGGAGGAGGAGCUCCGUGCCCAGAUCCGCGAGGAGAAGGCCCGAACACGGGAACUAGAGAAUCUCCAGCACACAGUGGAAGAACUUCAAGCUCAGGUACACUCUAUGGAUGGAGCCAAGGGCUGGUUUGAACGGCGCUUGAAGGAGGCUGAGGAAUCUUUGCAGCAACAGCAGCAGGAACAAGAGGAAGCCCUGAAGCAGUGUCGGGAGCAGCACACUAACGAGCUGAAGAGCAAGGAGGAGGAGCUACAGUGUGUUUUGGAUCAGCUCCAGCAGGCCCGGGAGGAGCGUGACUGCCACCUGAAGACCAUCAGCAGCCUGAAGCAGGAAGUGAAGGACACAGUGGAUGGGCAGCGCAUCCUGGAGAAAAAAGGCAGUGCCGCGCUCAAGGAUCUCAAGCGGCAGCUGCACCUUGAGAGGAAACGGGCGGAUAAGCUGCAGGAGCGGCUGCAGGACAUCCUAACCAACAGCAAGAGCCGCUCUGGCCUUGAGGAGCUGGUUCUCUCAGAGAUGAACUCACCAAGCCGGACCCAGACUGGGGACAGCAGUAGUGUCUCCUCCUUCAGCUAUCGGGAAAUCUUGCGGGAGAAGGAGAGCUCAAGCAUUCCAGCCAGGUCCUUAUCUAGCAGCCCUCAGGCACAGCCCCCGAGGCCGGCAGAGCUGUCAGAUGAAGAAGUGGCUGAGCUCUUUCAGCGCCUGGCAGAGAUGCAGCAGGAGAAAUGGAUGCUGGAGGAGAAGGUGAAGCACCUGGAAGUGAGCAGCGCCUCCAUGGCAGAGGAUCUCUGCCGUAAGAGCGCCAUCAUUGAGACCUACGUCAUGGACAGCCGAAUCGGUCAGUGCCCCAUCCCCAGCCCUCACCACUCAUGCAACCUCUCCCCUGCUCCCUCCUUCCCCACUGUCCAGUGCCAAGGCUUUUCUCCUCUUUCUUGGAACUCAGCAAAGCUACUGACAAGACCACAGCUGACGGAAGGGAUACCAGGGCAGGCCUGUACUUGUGUGUCUUUCUGUUCUGUCUCUUAUCUUGGUUCCUCCCCUUCUCUGGGUCUCUGUCAUCUUUCCACUCUACUUUCUCUAGUGUGUCUCUCUGCCUUCUUUCUCCUUUCUUCUCCCUUUGUCACUUCCUUGUCUUUCUCCCUCUUAUCUCUUCUCCUUAUCUCUUUUUUUUCCCCAUUUUCCCUUCAUAUUGUCACAGUGUUCCUGUCUAUAUUGUUCCAUCUCAAGAAAUUUUCUUUUUUUAAAAUUUUUUUCAGAAAUUUUCUUUCUCUGUGUGUGUAUACCUUUGGGGUCCUUCUCUUUUCCUCACUUUUCUCCCUCCUCUCUCCUCUUCCUCUCUUCUCUUCCUCCCCCCCCCACCUUUGUUUCUUUUGCUCCAUUCUUUCAAACCUCCUUCUCUCCCUUUUUUCCCCUAUGGAUCAGAAUAAUACCAACUGACAUGCGCUGAGACCUGACUGUGUGCUAUUCUUCACAUGCAGUCAUAUACAUUUUUCCAGCUCCAUGAGUUAGUUAUUAUCCCCAUUUCUCAGGGCUCCACAGCUAACAAGUGACAACCAGGGUUCACAUGGCUAAGCCUCUACCCCUUACAUGAAAUGGCCCAUCCCCCACUUUUCUCCUCCGCUCUGUUUCCUUCUUUUCUGCUCUGUCUCUGGUUAUUUCUCCUCUGAUUCUACUGAGGGGGUAGCUCUCAGCCUGGGCCCUUGCAGAUGUGUCCGUGGCAGCAGGCCACACAGACCGCAGUGGGCUGGGCAGUGUCCUGAGAGACCUAGUGAAGCCAGGAGAUGAGAACCUUCGGGAGAUGAACAAGAAGCUGCAAAACAUGCUGGAGGAGCAGCUCACCAAGAAUAUGCACCUGCAUAAGGACAUGGAAGUUCUGUCCCAGGAAAUUGUGCGGCUCAGCAAGGAGUGCGUGGGGUCCUCUGACCCAGACCCACAACCAGGAGAAGCCAGCUAAAGACCUGCAGGCUGCCCCAGUUCCUCCUCAACCCACCCCUACAACACCAUUCCCCUGGGCUGAAGUGGGGAAAUGGGGGCCGGCAUCAAAAUCAAAUAAGUUGGGAGAGUGGACAUUAAAGGGGUUGGAGGCCUGAUGGCUGGUUGUUAGUGACCCUAUCUUAGGGCAGUGGUCCCUGGGGAGUGAGGACCCUGAGGGGAAGGGCAGGGAUUUCUGGUCCUCCUUGGCCCUGAUUCCCAGGGGCAGUUGCCUUCAUCUCUGCAUGAGCUCUCCUUCCCAGAGACCAACUCUUUUUUAUUUUAUUUUAUUUUAUUUUAUUUUAUUUUAUUUUAUUUUAAUUUAUGUCUGGAAGCCUGGCUACCCUUCAUUUGGGGUUGGGGAUAUUGGGUGGGUCUGUGUUCAGCAUUCUAGCAAUGUGUGUGUGUGUAAAGGCUGUGCAGCCAAAAUAUCAUCUGGCCAGGUGGGCCCA